AACGUAGGAGACAAACGUUAUCCGGAGUUACUGGGCGUAAAGGGCGUGUAGGUGGUAUCGUAAGUCUGGCGUGAAAUUUCUCGGCUUAACCGAGGCAGGUCGUCGGAUACUGCGAGGCUAGAGGACGGUAGAGGCGUGUGGAGUUCCGGGUGUAGUGGUGAAAUGCGUAGAGAUCCGGAGGAACACCAGUGGCGAAGGCGACACGCUGGGCCGUACCUGACACUGAUGCGCGACAGCAUGGGGAGCAAACAGG
rnacentral:rRNA from 1 species